rnacentral:rRNA from 1 species
ACGCUGGCGGCAUGCCUAACACAUGCAAGUCGAACGAGACCUUCGGGUCUAGUGGCGCACGGGUGCGUAACACGUGGGAAUUUGCCUCGGGGUAUGGAAUAACUCAGGGAAACUUGAACUAAUACCAUAUAAUGUCUUCGGACCAAAGAUUUAUCGCCCUGAGAUAAGCCCGCGUAGGAUUAGCUAGUUGGUGGGGUAAAGGCUCACCAAGGCGACGAUCCUUAGCUGGUCUGAGAGGAUGAUCAGCCACACUGGGACCUGAGACACGGCCCAGACUCCUACGGGAGGCAGCAGUGGGGGAAUAUUGGACAAUGGGCGAAAGCCUGAUCCAGCAAUGCCGCGUGAGUGAUGAAGGCCUUCGGGUUGUAAAGCUCUUUUACUCGGGACGAUAAUGACGGUACCGAGAGAAUAAGCCCCGGCUAACUCCGUG